rnacentral:lncRNA from 1 species
AAUAAAUCGCUUCUGUGCUCCAGCCCGAGCUUAAAUGCUUCCUCUGGGCUUUUGUGCUUUGUGAUUAAAAUCUUAUUGUUAUUUCCCUUUAUUGGAUUUUUCUUGUCAUUUUCAAAGUGAAGUGCUUUUACCUUUCCGCAGUUAUGAUUCAGUGAAAUCCCAGGGAAACAUUGCACUGUUUUUCAGCAGGAACAUUCUUCAUCCUGCUAACAUCUGGCUUUUUCCUCUGAUCACCAACCAAAGCAAAUUUAAUAGAAAUUCUGUUUUCUGACUUAUCUCCGAUGCCAAACCGUGCUCCAAAUUUAGUGGUGAUCGAGAGCGAGGGUUUAUAUUUGCAGAGUGCGUUAAAGAAAUCAGC